ensembl:misc_RNA 7SK 7SK RNA
GGAUGUGAAGAAAUCUGGCUGUGGCAUCUGUCACCCCACUGACAGCUAGGGCUGAUUCAGCCAAUCUGGCUCUCUAAACAGGUGCCCCCUUCCUCUCCCUCACUGCUCCAUGUGCGUCCCGCCCAAAGCUGCAUCCUUGCUCAAACAGGAUGACCACUCCCAAUAGAGAAGGACCAGGUUCUUCUUCCACGGUAUAAGGGUAGCUGCUCCCCCGCUAGAACUUCCAAACGAGCCCACUUUAAAAAUCUACCCACACCUCCCAUUGAACAUGUCCUGAAGUGCUUCUCUCUGACAAAAGUCCAUGAACCUACUUACUCUCGGCGAUUGUGUGAGUGGAGUU